CAAUAGCGUAUAUUUAAGUUGUUGCAGUUAAAAAGCUCGUAGUUGGAUUUCGGGUGGGACGCAGCGGUCUCGCAUUGCGUUUGUACUGCUGCAGCCCUCCUUCUUGCCGGGGGCGGCCUCUCGGACUUCACUGUCUGGGGGUCAGAAUCGGCGAUGUUACUUUGAGUAAAUUAGUGUGUUCAAAGCAAGCUUACGCUCUGAAUAUAAUAGCAUGGGAUAACACGACAGGACUCUGGCCUAUCGUGUUGGUCUAUAGGACCAGAGUAAUGAUUAAGAGGGACAGUCGGGGGCAUUCGUAUUCCGUUGUCAGAGGUGAAAUUCUUGGAUUUACGGAAGACGAACAUCUGCGAAAGCAUUUGCCAAGGAUGUUUUCAUUGA
rnacentral:rRNA from 1 species